AUGUUCGCUACCCAAUCCCGUUCUCGUGUGAACAACUGCCGCCACUCCCUCACCAAUGCCCAGAAAGGCUCCUUGAGUGCAUCCGCAUACUUUGGGCAGAUGAGAGCACUCUCGGACGAGCUAGCUGCCGCCGGGAACCCCAUAACAGAAGCAGAUCUUCUUUCUCACAUCAUUGUAGGGCUCGACAUGGACUACCAACCUCUGAUCUCGGCGCUGGACGUACGCACCGCUCCCCUCUCGGUGGAUGAUCUCUUCGGCAUGGUCUCCAACUUCGACCAGCGUGUUGAGAUGUUCCACGGGACAGGGGCAGGGGCUUUCAAGUCCUCGGCUAAUGUUGCAUCCCGAGGUCGUGGCAACAACAACAACUCCAGCCGCUACCAUAACUCCAACAGGAGUGGUGGUGGUGGAUCUCGUGGUGGCGGCGGUGGUCCUUACCAGAACGGUGGCAACGGCGGCGGGUAUGAGGAAUAUGAAAAUAAGUGUCAGAUUUGCAAGAAAAAUAACCACAUCGCCAAGGAUUGUGAUUGGCGAUAUGCCGAGAGCAACCCCAAAAAGAAAGUUGCAGCAGCAGCAGACACGUCAUACGAAGUUAACACAAACUGGUACGUCGACUCUGGGGCUACCAACCACAUCACCAACGAGCUCGAGAAGGUGACGAUGAGCGAGAAGUACCAUGGCCAAGAUCAAGUUCACAAUGCAAAUGGUUAA
rnacentral:rRNA from 1 species